rnacentral:tRNA from 1 species
UUAAUUGAAACCAAAAUAGAGGUAUAUUAAUGUUAAUAAUAAAAAUGAAAUAAAAUUUUCCAAUUAAA